ensembl:snRNA U6 U6 spliceosomal RNA
GUGCUUACUUCGGCAGCACAUAUACUAAAACUGGAAUGAUUCAGGGAAGAUUACUAUGGCCCCUGUGCAAGGAUGACACAUUGACACAGGAAUUCAUGAAGCAUUCUUUU